rnacentral:tmRNA from 1 species
GGGGGCGUCACGGUUUCGACGGGAUUGCGUGCGGCUGAGAGGCAUGCCGGGGUGUGAACACCCGUAAUCGAUCACAAAACUAUAAGUGCCAACAACAACCUGGCUCUUGCUGCUUAAUUAACUAAGUAGCCGACCGCUUGGGCUUCGCCUAUGGGCCCAUACCGGUCGUCGCACAGUAGGCUGGCCCAAAGCGUUCCGCCUGGACGCAGAGGGUGAGAUCGAUCAGGCUGGUUUCGAGCGUAUCUUUGUCCGUUCUUAGCGCUCGUUACGAGAUAUAGAACAGGAAAAAGCAUGAAAGCUCUUCGUCGACAGUAGUUUCGGACGCGGGUUCGACUCCCGCCGCCUCCACCA